CAGCCGCGAUUCAUAACCCACAGCCCACGACCUGCGACCCACGACCCACGACCUACGACCCUCGAUUACCGAUUCUCGGGCCUGGGGAAGCGGUUACGACUCGAAUAGCAGCAGACCAGAAGUCACACAACACGGCAGCAGGAUCUACAACUACAGCAACAGAAACAAUAAUAAGAACAGGACCUAGGACAACGGAAAUAACAGCAUCAGCAGGUCCAACCUACACAUGGCAACACAAACUUCUCUGACUAAUAAUGUCAUAUGGGUGAGCUGACAACAGAUUGGCGCAAAGCGGUACAAUACCGCGGAUGGCAAAGUGGCCGACAAUUAUUUAAUCCCUUGGCCGUGCAAAAUGCAUUUUAAUUACGCACACGCAGCGAGCAGUGCACUUUAGCAUACUUAACAGGGCCACUUGGCGGGAUUUUACUGCUCCUGGAUGCCGGCACUCUAACUAUUCCCCCCAACUCGUUUUUACCCUCUGGUGCUUGUCUUUUCGGUGGCUGCGGGAUUUUAAAAUGCACAUCAUAAAUGCAUUCAUUUGUGACACUUGAUGUAAUUUGUUAG